rnacentral:rRNA from 1 species
UACGUAGGGCGCAAGCGUUGUCCGGAAUUAUUGGGCGUAAAGAGCUCGUAGGCGGCUUGUCACGUCGGGUGUGAAAGCCCGGGGCUUAACCCCGGGUCUGCAUUCGAUACGGGCAGGCUAGAGUGUGGUAGGGGAGAUCGGAAUUCCUGGUGUAGCGGUGAAAUGCGCAGAUAUCAGGAGGAACACCGGUGGCGAAGGCGGAUCUCUGGGCCGGUACUGACGCUGAGGAGCGAAAGCGUGGGGAGCAAACAGG